rnacentral:pre_miRNA from 14 species
GGGUGAGUGCAGGGGUGUGUGUGUGUGUGUGUGAGUGUGUGUGUGCGCGGGAGCCCAUGUGAACACGCAGAGGUCAGCUCU